rnacentral:rRNA from 1 species
CCUACGGGUGGCAGCAGUGAGGAAUAUUGGUCAAUGGACGGAAGUCUGAACCAGCCAUGCCGCGUGCAGGAAGACGGCUCUAUGAGUUGUAACCUGCUUUUGUACAAGGGUAAACCUGAAUACUUGUAUUCAGCUGCAAUAACUGUACGAAUAAGGAUCGGCUAACUCCGUGCCAGCAGCCGCGGUAAUACGGAGGAGCCAAGCGUUAUCCGGAUUUAUUGGUUUUAAAGGUUGCGUAGGCGGAUGGAUAAGUAAGAGUUGAAAUGUCCGAGCUUAACUCGGGAACUGCCUCUAAUACUGUUGAUCUAGAGAGUAGAUGCGGUAGGAGGAAUGUAUGGUGUAGCGGUGAAAUGCUUAGAGAUCAUACAGAACACCGAUUGCGAAGGCAGCUUACCAAUCUAUAUCUGACGUUGAGGCACGAAAGCGUGGGGAGCAAACAGGAUUAGAUACCCUUGUAGUC